AUUGUUAUUGAAACAUUGUGAAAGCUGGAAUACAAUAUGACCUUAAUGACCAUGAGAUUCGAUCUGUAGCAGUACUAGUGGGAAGUAUCUUUGCUUGUUUGAUACAAGGUGCGACUGGAUUUUUCAUAAAACAUGUUGAUACUGGAAAGUGUAUUUAUGACGUUGGAAAAAUUUUGUUAACAUAUCAACAUGGAAGUCAACUUUCUAGAGAAAGAAGCCAGCGUUUUGUGGAAAUUUCAGACAAUUGUUUUGAUCAAGCAUCUCAGUUGAACUUUCGAGACACUGGCGCAAUAUUGAAAAUAAAUAUACCAGGUUGCCUUCAAGCCGUGGACAGAUGGGUAAAUAUUGAGGGUACUCUUCAUUUGUUAGUUAUUCACUCUGAUAAGCAAAA